GACGAACCGAGCGAACGUUGUUCGGAAUCACUGGGCUUAAAGGGCGCGUAGGCGGGCUGCCGCGUCCGGGGUGAAAUGCCACGGCUCAACCGUGGAACGGCCUCGGAUACGGGCGGUCUCGAGGGGGGUAGGGGCACCUGGAACUGUGGGUGGAGCGGUGAAAUGCGUUGAUAUCCACAGGAACUCCGGUGGCGAAGGCGAGGUGCUGGACCCCAUCUGACGCUGAGGCGCGAAAGCCAGGGGAGCAAACGGG
rnacentral:rRNA from 1 species